CCAUUCCCACAGACCAGCUGGACAUUGGCCUUGGCAAUCACAUCCUUACCAUAAAGACCGAAGGUCUGAAGUCAUGCUCUGGUCUUCAGUGUGACACCCCAGGUGCUUUGUCAGAGUCACCCUGUUGUCACGAGAGCUGGUGUUCUAGGACAAGAAAGGGUCUGAUCUAAGUCCAGGUGCUUUUUAGCUCCACAGGGCACAAGACACACUCUCUCUCUCUACCUCUCCAUUGCUCAGCUCCCCAAUCCUGGUCAUCUGUCUCCAGCCUCCUUGGCCUUGUCUCCCUACUGCUAAGUUAAAUGCUGUUGGGGAUGGGGACCACAUGUCAAGAAGUGCAUGGGCUUUUCAGCUGCAAACUCCCAAGGGCCAAAGACAGAGGCUUUUUAUCUCCAGAGGCUCAAGGACACAGCCGACCUCCCUUUUCUCUUUUUUUUCUUUUUGCAGUAUAGCUACCACUACCCACUCUAGAUGUCAUGGAGAGGCUGAGAUGGCCAUGAGAUGGACAGUAGAUCAGAGGACUCAGAAGUACUCAAAUCUUUCCCAGCCUCCCAGCCCCUCAGAGAAAAAGGGCACACCACAGAGUGGGGAGAGGACUGGACUGGAUAUUGUGAGCAGGCACCUGUAGGGGGCGCUGGUAAGUCACUCCUCCCUCUGCCUUCUGCCUCUUCAUUGCAAAGUGAGGGGCUAAAUGCAAAGGUCCUUUGAGUCCUAACCUGUCACGACUCUGAUUUGCGUGAGCAGAAGACUGGUGUGCUUGGCAUGAAGGAUGGGACUCUUCAGGCCUCCUCUGGAUCCUUCCCCAGGCCUCUGAAAGGAUGCUCGGGUCUCUGCUGCCUCAGACACAGACAACCAAACACAACACUUCCCAGGAUCUUAUAAUCCUCUCUUGAACCUUCACCUUGCUCCCUCCUUUUACUCCCGAG
rnacentral:lncRNA from 1 species